GACGAACGCUGGCGGCGUGCUUAACACAUGCAAGUCGAACGGAAAGGCCCUGCUUUUGUGGGGUGCUCGAGUGGCGAACGGGUGAGUAACACGUGAGUAACCUGCCCUUGACUUUGGGAUAACUUCAGGAAACUGGGGCUAAUACCGGAUAGGAGCUCCUGCUGCAUGGUGGGGGUGGGAAAGUUUCGGCGGUUGGGGAUGGACUCGCGGCUUAUCAGCUUGUUGGUGGGGUAGUGGCUUACCAAGGCUUUGACGGGUAGCCGGCCUGGGAGGGUGACCGGCCACAUUGGGACUGAGAUACGGCCCAGACUCCUACGGGAGGCAGCAGUGGGGAAUAUUGCACAAUGGGCGGAAGCCUGAUGCAGCAACGCCGCGUGCGGGAUGACGGCCUUCGGGUUGUAAACCGCUUUCGCCUGUGACGAAGCGUGAGUGACGGUAAUGGGUAAAGAAGCACCGGCUAACUACGUG
rnacentral:rRNA from 1 species